rnacentral:rRNA from 1 species
GACGAACGCUGGCGGCGUGCUUAACACAUGCAAGUCGAACGGAAAGGCCCUGCUUUUGUGGGGUGCUCGAGUGGCGAACGGGUGAGUAACACGUGAGUAACCUGCCCUUGACUUUGGGAUAACUUCAGGAAACUGGGGCUAAUACCGGAUAGGAGCUCCUGCUGCAUUGUGGGGGUUGGAAAGUUUCGGCGGUUGGGGAUGGACUCGCGGCUUAUCAGCUUGUUGGUGGGGUAGUGGCUUACCAAGGCUUUGACGGGUAGCCGGCCUGAGAGGGUGACCGGCCACAUUGGGACUGAGAUACGGCCCAGACUCCUACGGGAGGCAGCAGUGGGGAAUAGUGCACAAUGGGCGGAAGCCGGAUGCAGCAACGCCGCGUGCGGGAUGACGGCCUUCGGGUUGUAAACCGCUUUCGCCUGUGACGAAGCGUGAGUGACGGUAAUGGGUAAAGAAGCACCGGCUAACUACGUG